AGAAGUCACCUGAAAUGCUGGCUGCGGUUACUACAUCAAGAGCUUCACCUGUGCACUUGUGCUGCGCUUAAAUUCAUGUUUCCUGAGGAUGUUCACCGCAGAAGGCAAUGGCACCCAACUCCAGUACUCUUGUCUGGAAAAUCCCAUGGACGGAGGAGCCUGGUAGGCUACAGUCCAUGGGGUCGCGAAGAGUCGGACACGACUGAACGACUUCACUUUUCACUUUUAUGCACUGGAGAAGGAAAUGGCAACCCACUCCAGUGUUCUUGCCUGGAGAAUCCCAGGGAUGGGGUCGCACAGAGUCAGACACGACUGAAGUGACUUAGCAGCAAGGAUGUCCACGUCAAAGGACAACACUCAUGCUACAAUAUCAAGCGGACAGAACAUUGUGCAGGAGACACCUGUGCAAGGAAGGAAGUAGGCGGUGAUUACCUCUGAGUGACUGGAACUUCCACUGAAGAAGAAACUUUGCUUUCUUCUUUACACUUUCCUGCUUUGUAUGGAUGUUCUAAGAUGGACAUGCUUUGCUUUCAUGAUAAUUGGAUUUGAAAGCAGUAUUAAAAAAAGAAACAGAAAGGAAAUGUGAGUUCCCAGAAGCUGAGGAAGCACAGCAAAGGCCAGGCCCGGAGCAGAGAACCAACUGGCCCAUCCCUUUCGGGGAAAGGCAGCAGCCACGUGGAGUGAAGCAAGCCUGGUGCCCCGACAGCCGGACAGCCGGCCGCUGGGCUCACUUCCUCCAGCGCGACUGCCUGGGAUAGAGCUGGAAACGGUGGUGGGAGUGAGCACAGCCGGGUCCACACCCCUUCCUACUGCCCAGGCCAGGGGGGUCUGUCCCCUUUCCUUGGCCCUGCAGCAGCUGGAGUUUGCCCCUCCAUCAUCUCUGCUUCCAUCACAUCUCACCAGAAGCCUGCUGCAUUUAUAAUCUUGUGUCUCCCCCAAAUAUGCCAAGCCCACAGUUGCUGUCCCUGGCUGGGUGAUGAUCAAGAGACCAGGCGGUAACUAGAAGAUGUAGUUGCUCCAUCGUGUCCGAUUCUUUGAGGUCCCCUGGACUGUAGCCCACCAGGCUCCUCUGCAUGUGGAAUUUUCCAGGCAAGAAUGCUGGAGUGGAUUGCCAUUUCCUCCUCCAGGGGAUCUUCCCAAACCAGGAAUCAAACUCCCGUCCAUCUCUGCGUCUCCUGCAUUGGCAGAAAUUUGUGAAGGACUCAGGUGGGCACUUCACACUUGGGGUCUCCCAGGAGGCUAUUGUUGACUGAGGCCGAAGUCAUCAGCUGACUCACCUGGGACUGGAGGAUCCUUCCGAAGUUUACUCACUUGUAUAGCUGGCAAGUUAGUGCCAUCUGUAGGCUGGGUGCCUCAGUGCCUCUCCACAUGGACGUCUCCACAAAGAUAUAAGAACAUCACUGCUGCCGUGUCUUGUCAGUUGAAGCAAGUCACCAGGUCAACCUAGAUUCAAGAGGAGGUGAAAUUGGAAAUUCCGUCCAGUGAUUAAGACUCUACAUGUUCAUUGUUUGUAAGGGGCACAGGUUCAAUCCCCGGCUGGGGACCUAAGAUCCUGCAAGCCAAAAAAAAAAAAGAGAAAAGAAAGAAGAGGUGAAAUAGAUUCCAUCUUGUGGUAGCAGAAGCAGCAAAUCCAGUUGCAAAGAGGUGUGAACACAGAGGUGCGGGUAAUUCUCUGGGGGACCAUUAUUGUAACAAUACUCCCUAGGGAUGGUGCACAAAGUUCAUACACUGGGUCAGCACACCCCACGCAUGCACCCAGAGAUCUGUGAACUUUGGCCUCACUCUUGGCAACAACCUGCUGCCUCCCAGCUUACUCCUCACCCCCUUCUCAGCCAGUCCAGCUCAGAAGAUCUGCCUGAAUAUAGACUGUGCCUCUGGUUUGGGGCCCUGUUUAUGCCCUUUGGCCUUGCUCAUGCAUGUGCGGACUUUGACUCAGGUUACCUGCCAGCCUUCCCGCUCAGCCUGGCCUCCACUCUGCUUCCUGGAACUCACAACCCCACCCCAUCAGCUGUCCUCUGGCAGGGUCUGGUCUGCCUCCCCGCUGGGAAAGUUCAUACACCUCCAGUGGAUUCUUCUUGACCAAUUUCCCGAGAAAACUGCUUAAUACAUCUGAAAGUACAGUAUGUGUCUUUCAUUCGCCCCAGCCAAAUAAGCUCCAGUAAUUCAGACCAUUGAGAAAUUCCAUGCUUUACGCUCCACAUUUUAGUCUUUUUUUUUCUCCUUUAGAACUCAUGAGUUACUGAGAAUAUAAACCCAUGAUGUUAUUUGAUAAGAGCUAUAAAAGGAAAAGAUAAUACCAAUAAGAUAGACUCUCACAAAAUGGUUUAUUGGUUGGACCAAGAAGUUAACAUGAAUCACAUUUUCCUAAUUGAAUCAUACUUUUUGAUGUAGUAGCUGGACUUGUUGCCUAAAGACCCUCAGAGGGCUGUAAGACAGAGCAUAGAAUUAUUUAGUAAUCAAAGUUUAGAUUUUUUGUAAGGGGAAGCCUUUUGGUAAAGAUAUUAAUUUGCUGGUUGUUAAAAUGAUUUUAGUGUUUCAAAGAAACAAGGUGUACAACAAUUGCAACUUUAGUGAAAAAAGAUACAUUUAUUGUAAAAAGGGGGAGAAUCUAUACAACAAAACAUAAAACAUAAUAUAAUAUGUGUGUAUCUCCUUUCUUUGGAAAUAUCUAUAAGAAACCAGUAAUAUUGACUCUUCAGAGAAAAAAAAAUGGGUGUGUGACAGCAGGGUAGAAGGAAGAUUUUUCGAUUUAUCUUUGUUCCUUUUGAAUUUUGUACCAAAUUAAACCAAAACGGUGGGAGCAGAUAUCACCUGGGAGGGGACACAAGGGAGUUCUCCAGGGUGCUGGAAAUAUUCUGGUUCUUGAUGUGAGUGGUGGCUAUAUGGAUGAACACACACAAAAAGUUGUCAAUCUGUACACUUAAAAUCAAUGCACUUUAUUAUGUUAUACUUCCAAGAA